GAUGAACGCUGGCGGCGUGCCUAAUACAUGCAAGUCGAGCGAACAGACGAUGAUCUUGCUCCUCUGACGUUAGCGGCGGACGGGUGAGUAACACGUGUAUAACCUACCUAUAAUACUGGGAUAACUUCGGGAAACCGGAGCUAAUACCGGAUAAUAUAUUGAACCGCAUGGUUCAAUAGUGAAAGACGGUUUUGCUGUCACUUAUAGAUGGAUCCGCGCCGCAUUAGCUAGUUGUUAAGGUAACGGCUUACCAAGGCAACGAUGCGUAGCCGACCUGAGAGGGUGAUCGGCCGCACUGGAGCUGAGACACGGUCCAGAGUCCUACGGGAGGCAGCAGUAGGGAAUCUUCCGCAAUGGGCGAAAGCCUGACGGAGCAACGCCGCGUGAGUGAUGAAGGUCUUGGGAUCGUAAAACUCUGUUAUUAGGGAAGAACAAAUGUGUAAGUAACUAUGCACGUCUUGACGGUAACUAAUCAGAAAGCCACGGCUAACUACGUG
rnacentral:rRNA from 1 species